rnacentral:pre_miRNA from 11 species
AGGAAGGUGGGCUGAGGGACAGAGUGAAGCUUUUCUUUUUUUCCAAAAGCUUGGUCUAAGGUCCUGUCUUGCUUCCU